CCGCCGUAACCAGCAUGGCGUCAGCGUCGGUUGCGAGGGGUGAGGCAUGUGGUGUUUUGGGGUCAAUUUUGCCAGCUUUAAAUGACUCAGCCCUGCUCUGCCACCUAGAGCGAUAUCAGCCAACUGUUAAUACCAGCGACUGCCGUCGGCGGCGCCACUGUCGCCGAUGGAGGAGCUGCAGGCGGCCACGGCGCCCUCUGCGCCGACGGAGGAGCGGCCGCGCAGCCGGGUAGCUCUGGUGCUGGCCUCGGUAACCGGCGUGGCCGCUGUGGGGCUCACCGCCGUCAGCUGGCCGUUCGUGGCGCCCGCCUUCAGAAAGGUGUGCCUGCCGUACGUGCCAGCCACCACGGAGCAGGUCACUAACGUGCUGCGCGCGCUGAAGGGUCGCUCCGGGCCUCUGGUGGAUCUCGGCAGCGGCGACGGGCGCAUUGUGAUCGCGGCGGCUGCGGUCGGUUUCCGCAGCGUGGGAGUCGAGCUGAACCCGUGGCUGGUGCUGUUCUCACGGCUCUGGGCUCGCCGGGAGGGUCUCUCUCCGAUGGCGUCUUUCCGGCGGGCUGACCUGUUCUCUCAGGACUUGACCCAGUACCAGAAUGUGGUCAUAUUCGGCGUCAAACAAAUGAUGCCGCGGCUGGAGAUAAAGCUGGCACAGCAGCUGCCGGUGACGGGAUGCGUGAUCGCCUGUCGCUUCCCCCUACCCACCUGGAGACCUUCGUACGUGAUCGGCGAGGGGGCAGACGCCGUCUGGGUCUACUUCCGACCGGGUAUGGAGGACGAGGAGCUUCCACCUUCGCCCCCACCGCCGGGUAGGGAGAGGUAGCCGGGUGGGGUGAUGGGUGUUUGUAUCGCUGCCGGUUCUUAGAGCGGAUGUAGGGUAGUGUGGUGCGACUGAAGUCUAGUCGAGAGUCGGUAUAUGCUGUCAGUGCGAACUUGUGAAUGGUCAGCUCUACGGAGGAUGAUAGAGAUUUUGAUGGGUAUGUUUUUGGGUCGAGAUUUGAGUGAUUCAGGUGCGGGAAGAGUUGGUGGUACUGAUUUCGGAAGUUGCUGUUAAUGUGCUGAUGUUGACGAACUGAUGUGACAAUACAUUUAAAGGCUUA
rnacentral:misc_RNA from 1 species